rnacentral:rRNA from 1 species
UACAGAGGUGGCAAGCGUUGUUCGGAAUUACUGGGCGUAAAGGGCGUGUAGGCGGUCUUCUGAGUCAGACGUGAAAUCCCCCGGCUUAACCUGGGAACUGCGUCUGAUACUGGGAGGCUUGAGUAUGGGAGAGGGAUGUAGAAUUCCAGGUGUAGCGGUGAAAUGCGUAGAUAUCUGGAGGAAUACCGGUGGCGAAGGCGGCAUCCUGGACCAUUACUGACGCUUAAGCGCGAAAGCUAGGGGAGCAAACGGG